rnacentral:lncRNA from 1 species
GAGCUCUCAGGCGAGGCAGAGGCACUCGGCGGCUGCCUGCUCCAUCUGCAGGGGCCAUCUUGUUAUUGACAUGUGUCGGGUCUCGCUCUGGCUUCCUGCAGUAGCCGGGUUGCAGCGCGCUCACAAAGAGCUGUCUGGCGUUAGCAGUGACCCCAGGCUGCAGGAAGUAGCUGGUUUUGCUUGGACACAGCGUGUCAGUAAAUGGUGCAAACUGCCACACGCAGAGACAAGAAGCUGCAGUGCACAGACCAGCAGAAACCAAACAGAAACCACAGAAAAUAAAAAGACACACCAGGCCUGGAAAGAAGGGACUCGGCAGAGGAGGAAGAUGACGACGAUGCAGGUCGGCACCUCUCACAGGUUCCAAAUAAAACCGAGGAAGCCGUGUUACCAUGGUUUAGGGAUAUCACACCAGCAGGAGCACUAUUUCUCUGCACUGCAAGAAGUGCGGUAAGAGGGAACACAUCAGUUAGGCUUACCACAGUGCCCCACAGAACAGCAAAGGAUGAGAUGAAGCCAUCAAUGACGGCAGGUAGG